AGCAUUUUAGAUCCCUUAGAGUAGCUACAAUAGCUCUGCAGAAAAUCAUGCAAUUUUUGCAGAGGUGCUUAUGUGUGAACUGGAUGGUGUGGGCUGGAUGAGGAUAUACACAUGUCAGGGAAGCCUGUGGAAAAGUCAGGAGGGUCUGUGGCACCAGGUGGGCGCACGAGUGUGUGCUCAGGGUGUGCUGACAGUGGUCGAGAAUCUUGCAAAUGGCAAACUCACUAGGUUUAGCCCGGAGCUCCAGUGGAGGAUUCAGAGAUCUAUGAAUCCUGGGACCCUAGAGAGAAGAAGACCAAGAAGGUAUUCAAUGCUUAAACGAAUGAAA